rnacentral:ncRNA from 1 species
CUUAUAAAGAAAGGUGGAGGGACCGGCCCUUUGAAACCUUGGCAACCUACAGAAAUUCAAUUCUGAGAAGGUGCCAAUUCCUUUCCGAUUUAUCGGAAAAUAUAAG